rnacentral:lncRNA from 1 species
GUACAGUAUUAUCUUUUGCAGAAUUUGUUCUUCUCUCUACGCACCUCAAAAUGCAGGUUUGGAUAGAGGGGCAGGUUAGCAUUUAUCCAUUUCGGUUUAUGCAUUAUCUAAAUUAGUGGCACUAUCUUUAUCCAAAUACAUUCCUGCAACCAAAUUUCCCAACUCCACUAACUUUGCACUUUCCUCAGCCACCAAUCCCCUGCCAUAUUCACUGCUAUAUCGACCUUGGCACUCACCAUCGCCAAACUGUUUUCACUCUCUUCUCUGUUUACAAUUAUAUUCCUUGAAUUUUAAUGUGCACUUGCAUUAAUUUGUAUCUGUAAAUUGUAGUGCAUGUUCAUAACCUCUUCAUAUUCGGCUACUUCUGCAUCAUUCCCAUGUAUCAAUGUGUGCGCGCGUAAAUUUUCUUGUGAUUGGUACCUUAUAUCAAUGGAUUCUUUCAAUCCAUUAGACUAUUGAUUUUCAUCCCUACUCUUAUCGACCAUCCAAAUUGCUUAAACAUCUAGUGCGUAUCUCUACAAGAUCAACUAAAUUUUAAUCAAAUUUUUGAAUUACUUAGUUUGGCUAUGCAUUCCAUGAUGAUUUUUCAAAUUGCUCUACCCCUCUUGAAUAUGUAAUUGUUGGAGACGGACGUCCAUUUGAUCCUGUUAGCACCAGUGUAAAGGACGAGCAUGUUAAGGAGAUUUGCAUUCACAUACUUAGCUUCAUUUCGUCUCCUUCUAAUUUCUGCAUUUUUUACAUUUGAGUAAGUCGUGAUUUGCUCAUUGUUAUGCAACUACUAUGGUUUCGGUAAGUCAUUGCUCUAUUCGUAUUUGCAUGCACGUGUUUUUAUUAACGGAAUAUAAAUAAUGCACCAAUAUUUCCAACAGUAACUGUGACGUGAACCUGGGUCUACAGGUGCAACACUAGCAUGUUGAACAUGAGCUCGUGCUAGUGUUGCUGCCGUGCUCAAGGGUCAAGCUGAGAGGGUAAGUUUUGAACGGAUGUCGUUCAGCAUUCAUUAUAAAUUUAAUCUGUUGCACUUGAUAAUGAUCAACUCUUGGUUGUCCUUUGCUUUGCCUUUGUGCACAGCUCUCAUUUUCUCCUACUUGUAUUUUUCUCACUCUUGAAAACAGAGUUGUACUGUCUUCUUGUCUGGAGGACCUCGGAAGUAAUCUUUCAUGGAUCAAUUCCACUCUACGUCCUUUGUUUUUAGAUCGAGAAGAGAAUUUUUUUGGGAAAUAAAGAAGCAGCUCCUAUUGGUUCUAGUGUUGUACUUCUAAACUUCGAGACAAGGGAUAAGUUUGGGUACCAUUGCUACAUACACUUUGAGUAAAAUCCAAACGUCGAAUCAAGUAUCCUCUAGAAAAGGGACUUGCUACUUUUGAGUCAGAUCAAACCUUAAAAUCAGUCUGCAAGAUAAAGUAUUCAAUGUGAUUAUAAGGCUAAAAUUCAAAAGUAAGAGUGAAAAGGUACUUGGGAGGUAAAUUUCGUUGUCACCUCUCCACUAAGAAGAGUACUUGUGACCUUGCCAAGUGGCUAAAGUAAAU